GACGAACGCUGGCGGCGCGCUUAAUACAUGCAAGUCGAGCGAGAACCAGGGCUUCGGCCCUGGGGACAGCGGCGAACGGGUGAGUAACACGUGGGUAAUCAACCCCCGACACCGGGAUAGCCCAGGGAAACUUGGAUUAAUACCGGAUGCCCCAUCUGGCUUUCGAGCCGGCUGGAAAAGGGUAGCUUCGGCCUCCGGUCGGGGACGAGCCCGCGGCGGAUUAGCUUGUUGGUGAGGUAAAGGCUCACCAAGGCGACGAUCCAUAGCUGGUCUGAGAGGACGAUCAGCCACACUGGGACUGAGAGACGGCCCAGACUCCUACGGGAGGCAGCAGUAGGGAAUCUUGCGCAAUGGGCGAAAGCCUGACGCAGCGACGCCGCGUGAGGGAAGAAGGCCUUCGGGUUGUAAACCUCUUCCAGGAGGGACGAAGCCACUCGGGUUAAUAGCCUAGAGGGUGACGGUACCUCCAGAAGAAGCCCCGGCUAACUACGUGCCAGCCGCCGCAGUAAGAC
rnacentral:rRNA from 1 species